GGUUAAGCGACUAAGCGUACACGGUGGAUGCCCUGGCAGUCAGAGGCGAUGAAGGACGUGCUAAUCUGCGAUAAGCGUCGGUAAGGUGAUAUGAACCGUUAUAACCGGCGAUUUCCGAAUGGGGAAACCCAGUGUGAUUCGUCACACUAUCAUUAACUGAAUCCAUAGGUUAAUGAGGCGAACCGGGGGAACUGAAACAUCUAAGUACCCCGAGGAAAAGAAAUCAACCGAGAUUCCCCCAGUAGCGGCGAGCGAACGGGGAGGAGCCCAGAGCCUGAAUCAGUGUGUGUGUUAGUGGAAGCGUCUGGAAAGGCGCGCGAUACAGGGUGACAGCCCCGUACACAAAAAUGCACAUGCUGUGAGCUCGAUGAGUAGGGCGGGACACGUGGUAUCCUGUCUGAAUAUGGGGGGACCAUCCUCCAAGGCUAAAUACUCCUGACUGACCGAUAGUGAACCAGUACCGUGAGGGAAAGGCGAAAAGAACCCCGGCGAGGGGAGUGAAAAAGAACCUGAAACCGUGUACGUACAAGCAGUGGGAGCACGCUUCGGCGUGUGACUGCGUACCUUUUGUAUAAUGGGUCAGCGACUUAUAUUCUGUAGCAAGGUUAACCGAAUAGGGGAGCCGAAGGGAAACCGAGUCUUAACUGGGCGUUAAGUUGCAGGGUAUAGACCCGAAACCCGGUGAUCUAGCCAUGGGCAGGUUGAAGGUUGGGUAACACUAACUGGAGGACCGAACCGACUAAUGUUGAAAAAUUAGCGGAUGACUUGUGGCUGGGGGUGAAAGGCCAAUCAAACCGGGAGAUAGCUGGUUCUCCCCGAAAGCUAUUUAGGUAGCGCCUCGUGAAUUCAUCUCCGGGGGUAGAGCACUGUUUCGGCAAGGGGGUCAUCCCGACUUACCAACCCGAUGCAAACUGCGAAUACCGGAGAAUGUUAUCACGGGAGACACACGGCGGGUGCUAACGUCCGUCGUGAAGAGGGAAACAACCCAGACCGCCAGCUAAGGUCCCAAAGUCAUGGUUAAGUGGGAAACGAUGUGGGAAGGCCCAGACAGCCAGGAUGUUGGCUUAGAAGCAGCCAUCAUUUAAAGAAAGCGUAAUAGCUCACUGGUCGAGUCGGCCUGCGCGGAAGAUGUAACGGGGCUAAACCAUGCACCGAAGCUGCGGCAGCGACACUAUGUGUUGUUGGGUAGGGGAGCGUUCUGUAAGCCUGUGAAGGUGUACUGUGAGGUAUGCUGGAGGUAUCAGAAGUGCGAAUGCUGACAUAAGUAACGAUAAAGCGGGUGAAAAGCCCGCUCGCCGGAAGACCAAGGGUUCCUGUCCAACGUUAAUCGGGGCAGGGUGAGUCGACCCCUAAGGCGAGGCCGAAAGGCGUAGUCGAUGGGAAACAGGUUAAUAUUCCUGUACUUGGUGUUACUGCGAAGGGGGGACGGAGAAGGCUAUGUUGGCCGGGCGACGGUUGUCCCGGUUUAAGCGUGUAGGCUGGUUUUCCAGGCAAAUCCGGAAAAUCAAGGCUGAGGCGUGAUGACGAGGCACUACGGUGCUGAAGCAACAAAUGCCCUGCUUCCAGGAAAAGCCUCUAAGCAUCAGGUAACAUCAAAUCGUACCCCAAACCGACACAGGUGGUCAGGUAGAGAAUACCAAGGCGCUUGAGAGAACUCGGGUGAAGGAACUAGGCAAAAUGGUGCCGUAACUUCGGGAGAAGGCACGCUGAUAUGUAGGUGAAGNNNNNNNNNNNNNNNNNNNNNNNNNNNNNNNNNNNNNNNNNNNNNNNNNNNNNNNNNNNNNNNNNNNNNNNNNNNNNNNNNNNNNNNNNNNNNGCGAAGCUCUUGAUCGAAGCCCCGGUAAACGGCGGCCGUAACUAUAACGGUCCUAAGGUAGCGAAAUUCCUUGUCGGGUAAGUUCCGACCUGCACGAAUGGCGUAAUGAUGGCCAGGCUGUCUCCACCCGAGACUCAGUGAAAUUGAACUCGCUGUGAAGAUGCAGUGUACCCGCGGCAAGACGGAAAGACCCCGUGAACCUUUACUAUAGCUUGACACUGAACAUUGAGCCUUGAUGUGUAGGAUAGGUGGGAGGCUUUGAAGUGUGGACGCCAGUCUGCAUGGAGCCGACCUUGAAAUACCACCCUUUAAUGUUUGAUGUUCUAACGUUGGCCCGUUAUCCGGGUUGCGGACAGUGUCUGGUGGGUAGUUUGACUGGGGCGGUCUCCUCCUAAAGAGUAACGGAGGAGCACGAAGGUUGGCUAAUCCUGGUCGGACAUCAGGAGGUUAGUGCAAUGGCAUAAGCCAGCUUGACUGCGAGCGUGACGGCGCGAGCAGGUGCGAAAGCAGGUCAUAGUGAUCCGGUGGUUCUGAAUGGAAGGGCCAUCGCUCAACGGAUAAAAGGUACUCCGGGGAUAACAGGCUGAUACCGCCCAAGAGUUCAUAUCGACGGCGGUGUUUGGCACCUCGAUGUCGGCUCAUCACAUCCUGGGGCUGAAGUAGGUCCCAAGGGUAUGGCUGUUCGCCAUUUAAAGUGGUACGCGAGCUGGGUUUAGAACGUCGUGAGACAGUUCGGUCCCUAUCUGCCGUGGGCGCUGGAGAACUGAGGGGGGCUGCUCCUAGUACGAGAGGACCGGAGUGGACGCAUCACUGGUGUUCGGGUUGUCAUGCCAAUGGCACUGCCCGGUAGCUAAAUGCGGAAGAGAUAAGUGCUGAAAGCAUCUAAGCACGAAACUUGCCCCGAGAUCAGUUCUCACUGACUCCCUGAGAGACCUGAAGGAACGUUGAAGACGACGACGUUGAUAGGCCGCGUGUGUAAGCGCAGCGAUGC
rnacentral:rRNA from 1 species